rnacentral:rRNA from 1 species
GACGAACGCUGGCGGCGUGCUUAACACAUGCAAGUCGAGCGGUAAGGCCCUUUCGGGGGUACACGAGCGGCGAACGGGUGAGUAACACGUGGGUGACCUGCCUUUAGCUCUGGGAUAAGCCUGGGAAACCGGGUCUAAUACCGGAUAUGACUCCGCGGCGCAUGUUGUGGGGUGGAAAGCCUUGUGCGGCUGGAGAUGGGCCCGCGGCCUAUCAGCUUGUUGGUGGGGUGAUGGCCUACCAAGGCGACGACGGGUAGCCGGCCUGAGAGGGCGACCGGCCACACUGGGACUGAGACACGGCCCAGACUCCUACGGGAGGCAGCAGUGGGAAUCUUGCGCAAUGGGCGAAAGCCUGACGCAGCGACGCCGCGUGAGGGAUGACGGCC